UACAGAGGUCUCAAGCGUUGUUCGGAUUCAUUGGGCUUAAAGGGUGCGUAGGCUGCGCAGAAAGUUGGGUGUGAAAUACCUCGGCUCAACCGAGGAACUGCGCCCAAAACUACUGUGCUCGAGGAAGAUAGAGGUAAGCGGAACUUACGGUGGAGCGGUGAAAUGCGUUGAUAUCGUAAGGAACACCUGUGGCGAAAGCGGCUUACUGGGUCUUUUCUGACGCUGAUGCACGAAAGCUAGGGGAGCAAACGGG
rnacentral:rRNA from 1 species